rnacentral:rRNA from 1 species
GAUGAACGCUGGCGGCGUGCCUAAUACAUGCAAGUCGAGCGAACGGACGAGAAGCUUGCUCCUCUGCUGUUAGCGGCGGACGGGUGAGUAACACGUGGAUCACCUACCUAUAAGACUGGGGUAACUUCGGGAGACAGGUUCUACUACUACAUAAUAUUUUGAACCGCAUAGUUCAAAAGUGCAUGGCAGUCUUGCCGUCUCAUAUAGAUGGUUCCGCGCUGCAUUAGCUAGUUGGUAAGGUAACGGCUUACCAAGGCAACGAUGCAUAGCCGACCUGAGAGGGUGAUCGGCCACACUGGAACUGAGACACGGUCCAGACUCCUACGGGAGGCAGCAGUAGGGAAUCUUCCGCAAUGGGCGAAAGCCUGACGGAGCAACGCCGCGUGAGUGAUGAAGGUCUUCGGAUCGUAAAACUCUGUUAUUGGGGAAGAACAUAUGUGGAAGUAACUGUGCACAUCUUGACGGUACCUAAUCAGAAAGCCACGGCUAACUACGUG